GUGUAUAUUUGUGUUAUUAUAUUUAUAUAGCUUGUAAAUACUGUAAUAAACGGCCUCUUGAAAAACAGGUGCCUACGAGCCCUGAAGAGCUACCGUUUUAAAAUAUUUUUAAAUAAUAAUAAUUUUAAAUAAUAAUAAUAAAAUGUUUAUAACAAUUUACUUCUACGAUUAAAUCUACAAUUAAUCAUCAGUGUUAAAACAACAUGCUCUACGAUAAAAAAUUAUAUCGCUAAAAACAACCUGCGUCCUCGUCCCAUUUAGACAGCCUGGGACGUGGUUGCGCUCAAAACUAUUGUUGUAACUAUUUACAGCAUAAACCAUAGAAUAAAGAUCCAUAUAGAAGGGCCACUUACGUCGGAAGCUUUGAAGUUUCUGUCCUCGCGCAUGUCGCAUUACGCAUGUUGGCCGCCAUUUUCCUAUCCAGUCAAUGACAUUUUCUGGCCAAUAAACACGCUGUACUGGCUGUGUGCUCCGCCUUCUGGCCAGUAAACUGCAUAUUUUUGCAUAAAAAAACGAGAACACGUUGCACCACUGAGUGGCCCUUCUGUUACUGAUCUUUAUUCUGUGGCAUAAACCACAGAAAUAAUAUGAUACGAUAAACCAACUUUAGCCUGCUCACGUGGGUUGGAUAUUGAGAGUACAUACGCAAAAAUCUCACAUCUUGUAACAAGUUUGUCAACAAGCCGUGAAAGUUGUCUUCGCACUGCUUGUCACAAGUUGUCAACAGUUUUGGAACAAUUUGU